GAAGGAUCUAAAGAGAUCAACGUAACAGCGUUCUCUUGAAGUCGAUUACCUGUUGGAAAAUCUGUUCAUGCCACCAAGCCGAUCCAAGUUCAACAGCUAGAAAUAAUGAAGCAAUGAUAUAUAGCACAAAACGGUAAGUUUUUCAUAAU
rnacentral:lncRNA from 1 species